CCUACGGGAGGCUGCAGUGAGGAAUAUUGGUCAAUGGCCGGAAGGCUGAACCAGCCAAGCCGCGUGAAGGACGAAGGUGCCAAGCAUUGUAAACUUCUUUUGUCAAGGGACAAAAUCAGGCUCGAGAGCCUGACCGAGGGUACUUGAAGAAAAAGCAUCGGCUAACUCCGUGCCAGCAGCCGCGGUCAUACGGGGGAUGCGAGCGUUAUCCGGAUUUAUUGGGGUGAAAGGGUGCGUAGGCGGGGUGUUAAGGCAGCGGGAAAAGCCCGGGGCUCAACCCCGGCGAGCCGUUGAAACUGGCUGUCUUGGGAUGUCGAGAGGUAAGCGGAAUGGGCAGGGUAGCGGUGAAA
rnacentral:rRNA from 1 species